AAAAAAUUUAAUUUUAGUUUUAAAAUUAAAUAUUAUUAUUUAUUAAAUAUAAAUUUUAUUUAAGAGGAAAAAGUAGUAAUUAGAAUUAAUUAUUAAGGAAAUUUAGAAUUAGAAAAUAUAAUAGUAUUAACUUAAUUUGUGCCAGCAGUUGCGGUUAUACAAAUAAUACAAUUUAAUUUUAUUAAUAUUAAUUAAUUUUUUAUAAAUUAAUUUUAUUUAAAAAUUUAUUAAGUGAAAUUUUAAAUUUUUAAAAAAUUAUUUUUUUAAAAUGAAGUUAAUAAAAUUUAGUAUUAAACUAGGAUUAGAUACCCUAUUAUUUAAAAGAUAUAUAAAAAUAUUGAAUGAUUAUAAGAUAUAUUCUUUAAAAUUAAAAAUUUUGGCGGUAUUUUAGUCUUUUCAGAGGAACCUGUUCUAUAAAUGAUAAUCCACGAUUUAAUUUACUUUUUUUUUUAAUUUAUAUAUCGUCGUAAUUAAAUAUUUUUAUAGAAUUUAAAUAUUUAAGAUUUUUAAUUUGAAUAUAAAUCAGAUCAAGAUUUAGUUUAUAAAAAAGUAGAAAUGGGUUACAUUAAAUAUAUUUUUAGAUUAAUUAUAUUAUUAUAAUUAUAAAAUUGGAUUUGAAAGUAAAUUUAAUUAAUUUAUUAAUUUGAUUUAGCUCUAAAAUAUGUACAUAUUGCCCGUCGCUUUCAUUUAAUGUGAAAUAAGUCGUAACAAAGUAGAUUUACUGGAAAGUGAAUCUAGAUUCAA
rnacentral:ncRNA from 2 species